rnacentral:rRNA from 1 species
AGUGAACGCUGGCGGUAGGCCUAACACAUGCAAGUCGAACGGCAGCACAGGAGAGCUUGCUCUCUGGGUGGCGAGUGGCGGACGAGUGAGGAAUACAUCGGAAUCUACUCUGUCGUGGGGGAUAACGUACGGAAACUUACGCUAAUACCGCAUACGACCUACGGGUGAAAGCAGGGGACCUUCGGGCCUUGCGCGAUUGAAUGAGCCGAUGUCGGAUUAGCUAGUUGGCGGGGUAAAGGCCCACCAAGGCGACGAUCCGGAGCUGGUCUGAGAGGAUGAUCAGCCACACUGGAACUGAGACACGGUCCAGACUCCUACGGGAGUCAGCAGUGGGGAAUAUUGGACAAUGGGCGCAAGCCUGAUCCGGCCAUACCGCGUGGGUGAAGAAGGCCUUCGGGUUGUAAAGCCCUUUUGUUGGGAAAGAAAUCCAGCUGGCUAAUACCCGGUUGGGAUGACAGUGCUCAAAGAAUAAGCACCGGCUAACUUCGUGCCAGCCGCCGCCGUAA